UGGCAAUUUGGGAGAUUCGGAUGGUAUUGAUGAUAUUUUUUCUUAAUUUGAAAAAACUGAGAAACAUUUGAAAACUGCCUUCCCUUUUUAAAAUUUCUCAGGGAGUUAAAGGGAAAAUCUUGAAAGGCUAGGGCAGAGAACGUGCCCUUAUAGGUUUUAUGUUAAUUCCAGGGAAGGAGUCUUUUGUGCUUAAGAAAUCACAUAGAUAUUCUCUGUAGUUGUUUUUCUUAGUUUUAAAAAUUAUGCCUGGAAAGCCACAGAGUUUAAGUCCUGCUAGUCUGUAAUUGACCAGAAUGUAUGCAUUCAGAGUUAACAGAAGCUUGCAACUCGUUUUCUAUGUUUUUCCUUUUGGCUUUCAUUUCUUUGGGUUGCUGUUAUAUAAGCAGCUUUUUAUGUUUAGUUAGAGUAUACAGAAGCUCAGGGUGAUCUCAGUACCCAUUUGGUUUCCAGAGGGUCUGUUUACAGCGAGGCAAGUCCUUCAAACCUCCUGCCACUUUGUGCAUGUUUUACAAGGUAGCGGAGAGAGUGAAUGAUUCCAAAAGUUGAUUUCAUAUUUCUUGUAGGCAGACUUAAAUCAUAGGUCGGGCUGGGGGCUCUUCUGGAAGCUCCUAAAUAUCUUAGACUACCAGUUCUAUGAGUUGGACGUACAUUGAAUUUGGGGAUGGGGUGGGGCACGCUUUGGGAUUCUAACACACAACCCAGUUUGACAACCACUGUCUUAAGCUAUUAUUAUGUGUAUGGGCUCUGGUGAGAGGCACGAGUUCUUGUCUUCAGCUUGAGACAGGAAAGCAUAUUUCUCUCCAGGCUCUGGAGUCCAAACUUGCUUCCUGCCGGAACUUCGUGUAUGAUCAGUCCCCAAACCGACCCAGUGGCCCAGCCUCAGGGUGGGGGAGCAAGAACAGAGACGGAGGUGACAGACGGCCAGGCAGCACCAGCAUGCCUCUGGGUGACAAAGGGAGAGAAAAUUGAGACCCAGUGAGACACUGCUCCCGACCUUGAUAUUCACUCUUAUAACUUUGUGGGCCCCCGUGCUAGCCAGUCUAUAACAGCUGUAAUGUCCACCUAAUUUGGUUUGCUCUGUCUGAAGGUUGGGAAAACGCCUGGAAUUUGGGAAGCCGCCUUCAAAUAUUUCCUCACCAUCGCUGCCGUCAGCCCAGGGUGUAGUCAAGAUGUUGCUUUAGGAAAUCCACAGAAGCCAAGGCCCCGGUGUCUGUGCAGGAGUCAUUUUACCCUCCUUCCCUCUUUAAACUAGGUUUUUGGUUUUUUUAAGUUAGUUUGAGAAAUACGAGCAAGCAGUUGCACUAGCCAGUGACAGUGGGGGGCGGGGAUCGCCUGUGGCCCCGGGUGGUCAUCCCCAGGAAAUGCUGUCUCAUAACCCCCGGCCUCCUUGUUGGGGUGUUGCCAAUGGACAGGGACAAAGCGGACCCUCUGGAAAUGGUGACGUGGGUGCUGAGGCUGCUCCAUCAUUUUCAGCAGACCUGAGUCCUGAUUGGUCUUGAGAGGUGUUUUUCAUGACCGGGGACACCUAUAAAGUGGGGUCUGAGCCCAUCUCAGGCUCACUCCGGCCCCCACUUUGCUGGAGCUUCUUCCAGAACAAAAUCUCCAGUGCUCUUUGGCACAGUAGGGAUCAGUGCACUGAAAUCACAUCUAGGGGUGAAGAACAGAACAGGCAUGAACCUUUUAUUUAAACUGUGGUGUGGUGUACCUCUGAGACUUUUUAAUCUGCCUCUCACUGAGGUUUUUAGAGGCAUGCUUGAGUUUCAGAGUACGUUUUGUGGGACCAGGUCAGUGGAAACUCUGUGUCCUCUUUAGACCAAUCCUGGCUGUAAGUUGUCCUGAGCCCCUCUGUCCUGGCCUGGGGGUGACCUCUGCUUCAGGACCCUUAGGGUCUCUGGGGUGUGAUGGCCUUGGUAAUGCAGCCCCUAAGAACAGGACUUCAUUCAAAGCCUUGAUGAAAUAAUUGGGGUGGCCUUCGGAUAAGAUUAAACCACCAGGACUGUCGGUGGGAGGUUCCUUAUUAAAGAAGAAACGAACCCAGGAUUUCCACACAGAUGGUGUGCAGCUCAUCCCUGCUGGUUGUGAACGGCAGUCUCACACUUUGGACGCAAGUAAAAAGAACACAUGAAUUCCAGCGCAUGCGUGCAGCUUAACGGCCUUCUGUUACAUAGUUAUUUUUCCAAAAGAACAGCAAAAAUAUCCUUGAGUUGAAAACAGAACUUUUCAAAUGCUACUGAAAUUCAGCAGAGAAUUAAACUUGAGUGCCCACUUCGUUGCCCUGGCAACAUUCUAACCUAUAUCGGAAAAAGAUGUAUUUUUAUUUUUUUAAAAGAACAAUAAAAUCAAGAGAAACUGGUUUUUA